AGCUCCAAUAGCGUAUAUUAAAGUUGUUGCAGUUAAAAAGCUCGUAGUUGGAUUUCUGGUGGGAGCGACCGGUCCGACGCUUAGCGUGGGUACUUGUGUCGUCUCUGGCCAUCCUUGGGGAGAGUUUGUCUGGCAUUAAGUUGUCGGGCAAAGGAUCCUCAUCGUUUACUGUGAAAAAAUUAGAGUGUUCAAAGCAGGCUUAUGCCGUUGAAUAUAUUAGCAUGGAAUAAUAAGAUAGGACUUUGGUACUAUUUUGUUGGUUUGCGCACCAAAGUAAUGAUUAAUAGGGACAGUUGGGGAUAUUCGUAUUUCGUUGUCAGAGGUGAAAUUCUUGGAUUUACGAAAGACGAACUACUGCGAAAGCAUUUAUCAAGGAUGUUUUCAUUAAUCAAGAACGAAA
rnacentral:rRNA from 1 species